ACACGAAGAUCGAUUGAGAAGUUAUUAGAAUGGGAAAACAAUAGGUUAUACCACAAGCUGUGCUUGCACUGGAGACUGAGCAAAAGGAAAUGUGAAACGAAUAACAUGAUGGAAUAUGUAAGUUAAAGGGCUGUUUUGUGAGUUUCUCUAUUAAAUGAUCAUUUAUUUUGCUUCUGAUCUUAUUCUUUCCAUGAUUAUUAAUCAGCAAAGGUGUCAGGAGCUUAAUCUCCUGAGCGCAAGGAUUUUCUACGGUUCACAGAUGCAUGGUUUCAUGUGCAAGACUGAUUUAUAAAGUUAUGAAUGACUUGAAAACAAGGCUUCACUGUGUUCUGAAAAAUAAUAAAUUAAUUGCCAAGAUAAAAUAGCCUGAACAUGUGUUGAUGGAGUGUGAAAUUUUAGAUGCUGUAUAAAGAAUAACCACAACUUUGGUUACGCAGCAAGUCAGAUAUGGCUUUUUUAUAUAAUGCUAAUCAGGUUUCCAAGUAUGGAAGAAAACCUUUCAGCCAAGCCACUGGAGCUUAAGAAACCUUUAGCCUUUAUAGAUUUUAACUGCCCAUACCUCCGUGGCCUUUAGAGAAUCUUUCAAAGUGUUAUUGGAAUAUUAUUCUGUAAAAAGUAUCUUAAAAGUAAACGGGAGAUGAGAUGGUACUUAUCCUGUGUUUAUUCGUUAAGUUAUCUAAAUGAGCAUGUAUAUUCAAUGGAUUUUAGAAUGGGAUUUAAUUUGCUGACUACUUGAUUUACUUUAUUUUUCUCCUUUUGAAAAGUUCAGAAUGCUAUAGAAAAUUGUGACUCUUUAUUCUCCCUUGAGUUUGGGUGUUUCAUUUUAAAUAUGGAAAGGUUAUUAUAUUAAAAGAAAAAGAUCUGAGGAAGAGUUAAGUACCUGGAACAUCAUUUCUAACAAAUUUCAUCUAUUCUUUGAAACAGUAUAGCCAUCAUAAGUAGUAUAUAUGUAUGUGUAUAUAUAAAAGAUUGAUUAAAAGAGUGCUUAAAUAGUUGGAAAUUAUCAUACAAUCAUUUUUCUCUGUAGCAUUUUCUCUUUCAUUAUCACACAGUAAAAUCCCAUUUCUAGCCUUGAACAUAAAAGAUGUCUUAAAGAUGUCUCUUUUUUUUUUUUUAUAGAAUAGCUCUAUUCAGUGAACCAAGUAAUGAAGAUUUUAUCAUUAUUACAUCAAACAUGUUAAUUUAUGAUGAUAAAAAGGCACUUGAUACCUCUUUAUAUAAUAAAAGCACAUUCACAUAACUUAUUUUGAGAUAGACCUCUGGAAAUGCUGGAUUUGAAUUUUCAUCAUAGAUGAUGAGAAAGAUUAUGUAUUUUGUGAGGAGGGAUGGAUAUCUAAGAGAUUUAAAGGCUUUUGUGAAAAAAUACUGACUAUAAACCCAAACACUAAGCUCAAAAUUGAGGCUUUUGUUUAUUUACUUAUUUUUUAUUUACUUAUUUUGCACAUUUCUAAAUUUACUUUGAAAAGGAGAACAACUUAGUCCCAAUUUCUAGAUAGAACUGGAAGAAUGUCAUUCAUUUAUAAAAUAUGCUCAUUAUAUUCAUGUUUAUUUUUUAUUAUUUGUUAUUCAUUUACAUAAUUUACUUCCAAAACAUUCUGAACUAUGUGCUCUGUGUAUAAAAUAGUUUCCUUUAAUUUAUCAUAAAUUUUUAGAUAAACACUUUUCCUAGGGCCAUUAUAUUUUUCACAUCAUCAUAGAAGAUAUCCAGAAGAGUAGCUUUAAAACAUUUGCUUUAAAAAUGUAUUUUUUCUAAAUUUUCACAGAGUGUAUAUAUAUGUGUGUGUGUGUGUGUGUGUGUGUGAGAGAGAGAGUUGAAUGAAGGGAAAACUUAAUUUUUAAAGCUUCCAAAAAUAAUUCUGAAAACUUAAGAUAGUAAAUGAUCUAUCAGAUAUAUAUAUAUAUUUGACCUAAACUUUUCUUUAACUUAGAGAAAUUUCCUUUGUUAAAGGGAAAUAAUUUUCCUCUAUUAUAUUUGAAAUAUUGGAGUCAAUCUAAGAACGUGCAAAUUUGUUACUAACUUUAUUUUUAUAUGUGGCUUCUAAAGAGAAAAGUUUGUAGGAUACACUCUUUAAAAACUAGUAAUGAUUCAAAUAUAAUCAAAGAUAGCUUUUAUUAUUCAUUAUAUAGUAUACACUAUAAAAUAUAAUUUAAUCAAAUUUUAGAGCUGCAAUGAGUCUUGUCAUCUAGUCCAACCCUCUUAUUUUAUAGAUGAGGAAACUGAGGAACAGGAGAAUCUAGCUCAAAUGAGGAAGCUGGAUCGGAAGCUAGUAAACAUUUUGUCGGCAAAUAACAGGUCAAAAGAGUGGCACAGGGGGCACCUGAUAGUAAAUCAACUAAGAAGGGAAUAUUUUUGAGCCAUGUGUAGAAAUACCUUCUUUAUUGAGAUAGAUCAAAGCCCAGGAAAACUGAAGAGUGAAAAUGAAGGUUUCUGACCCAGAUGACUAAAUGUGGAAGAGUAUCCAAACCUGGAGGUCAUAUCAAGACACCAGUUCUGAAAAAGAAUGAAGAGUUGGAAACUGUUCAAAUCAAAUAAUUUUUUUGUUUAGCAUCUAUUCCAUACAGAGUUUGAACAAAGGGAAGAAUCGAUUACAAUUUAGGAUAGUUUCAAGUUUGGAGUGAAAAUUAGUUCUGGUCAUCUAGUGUCAUUCUGUGUUACUAUGUUUUGUUUUUGUUGAUUUCCUGUAGUUUCAUAGUGAAAAGUUCUCUGCAACAAAUUUUAACCUUUAAUUUUGCUAACCCUAAGAAGAAUAGGAUAUUAAAAAAAAAUUAAAGAGGUAAAGGACCAAUCAGUAGUCUUUGUCUAGAGAUCCCAUAUCCUGGUACUGUAAAAUGAGAGCAACUCUAGAACCCUAAAGACCCAUGGAAUGGGGCGUUAGAUAAAAUGAGAAAGCCUGAGGAACUGGGUCAGCUGCAGCUACAUAUGGCAGUAGAAAGAGCAGAGCUCUGGAGUUAAGCUAGACCUUUGUUCAAAUGCAAUCCAUGGUGUGACACUUCUUAGACCAUUGGUUUUCUCAUCUGUAAAAUGAGGAUGAUAGUGUUUGAAUCGUCGAAAGUUGUUGUGAUUAAAUAGAUCUAUGUAGAAUGAAACACUUGAUAGGUUAGGUAGUUCUCAGUAAAUGCUAGCUCCUUUUUUCAUUCAUGCAUGCGUGCAUUUUCCUGUUUGUCAGAGGCACUAUUAAAAUUGUUUGUAAGUGAUGGAAUGUAACUGAAGUUUUUCUGAGAUAAAAAUCUUUUAAAGUCUUUUUAAAACUUUUUUUUCUCCUCCUACAGGUCAUCCUCAUAGAAUUUUUACCAAAGACACCGAUUUUUCGACCAGAUUAGCAUUUGCUUUAUUUAUAGAGACUUUCCAAGUAUGUUGUCUUUCCAAUGGUGCCUUGCUUGGUGCUCUCCUGGUGGUGACAUAGCAUUGGUUCUACAGAAUCGUGUGGUGUUUUUUUGUUUUGUUUGUUUGUUUUGUUUUUUAAUAACCGCAUGUUCUAAGUGUGCAUUUUUGUUAAACUUUGCAACAGUUAUUUCAUACAGAUGUUUAAUACUUAAGUUAUUGUGCUCUUUUCUGUUAUGUAUUCUGAUUUUCAAGGAUUACUUUUUUGUAUUAUCAAAAAAAAAAUACAUUUGAACUUAGCAUAAAGAGUGGCCAGCCUUUUUUAUUUUACCACCAAGGUACAUACAAUCCUUUAUUUAUUAAUUCCUUAAUAUAGAAAAAGACCUUUAUAAGGCUCUACUUAUCUACUCUAGCAAGCACACACUUUUUAUUAUUUUUCUUGUUUUUUAAAUUUAUUGUAGUCAUUGUUAUAAAAUAGUAAAUUUUCUUUGAUAGCUUUUUGAACCCUAAUAUAUUCUUUCUCAUACAAUUCCUAAUGCUCUGUUUACAGCAGAAAUACCUGUAACAUUAUGAAGACCUAUUAAAAAGUUUUGAAAGUAUUUCUGUCUUCAAAAGUAGUAAGGCAAGAGUAAAUUAUUUUCAUUAGAAUAGAUAAAUCAAUGAAUGGUAUGCAUGCAUCUAAUGGUUACUAGAGCUCAGGAUCACAAAAUAUAGUAGCAUUACAAUCUGUAUAUUUUUGAUCAAGAUGAUUAAAAUGGCCUUAUUUGUGUUAUUUUUUUAUUGUUUAUCAAAUAUUAUAUACAAAAGUGUAGAGAUACUCCUUUUAAAAAUUUCUAAGGAAAAUAUUUCUCCAGUCUAACCCAAUUGUAGAAUGGAUCUAUGUUUCCAAAAAAGUUUUUGAAAGAAAGCAAAAGUUCUAGCAUUAAAGUAAGCUGAUAUGUAAAUACCCCAUUGAUAUUUAAAGCAGAUGAUUACUAAGAAAGGGAGGACAUAUAUAGUACUGUUUUAAUCUACUAGUUUGCUUUCAGGUCAGUUAUGUAUACUUUUUUGAUUGAGGGUGUGACCUAUAAGUUUGAGUUAGAUCAGUUUUGUUUCUUUAAAAUACAUACAAACAUACUUUUUUUUUUUUCUCCUUUCGGUUGUACAUAGCUCCAUGCAUUUUUAAACUCGCUAAAUUUCUGAAAAGCCUAUGUAUAAAUUUUCAUUUUUAUAAACCAGAAAUUAUACAAAUUUUGUGUGUGUCAAGAACUUGUUCCAUACAACUGUGGUAUCGAGCAAUAAUGUGAAUAACUUUUGAAAUUAUAUAAACUAUGCUUAAUUUGUAUUUAGAAUUGGUACCACUCUCUAAUACCCUUUUUCCUUGUAUUAAAUCUUUUAAGUACAAAUUUCAUUAAUUUAUAUACAUGUAUUUUUAAAAAGUAUUUCUUUGUACUUCUCCAAAGUACUGUAAGUCUAUAAAAAUUUGAGUAGUUGAAUGCCGGUAUCUUAUAUCCUAUAUCGAACAUUAGGAACUAUCUUAAAAUCUAGGAUUUUUUUUUUUCUUUUGUUUGAGAUAUUUUUUCAUUGCGCCUCCUCCCCCCAUAAAAGACCAACUUGAAUUUAUAAAACACUUUUUCCUGUGAAAAGCUCAAAGUACAAAGAAUUCAUACUUUUCUCAUUUUUACUUACCUGGUGUCUUGGGUGUGACUAUCACCUUAAAGUAGUGCAAUUAAAAGGCUGUGCCGUUCAUAAACUCUAGUGUUCCUUGGUGGUUUCCCUGUGACAGAGUGUUGCACGGAGAAUGCCAGUUCUGCCUCAGGAUUCAGAAAGAACAGAAAAAUAUGAAGACCAUGUAGACCAUGCAACACAGUUUUCCAAAUCUAAAAUUUUAUAAAUUUGUAGAGCAUUGUAUUAAUCAGUUUUAUAGGAAGAACCAUGACUAUUUAGGCAUAAUUUUUUUCUCCUAUUAUUCUUCUAUAAUGUAAUAUAUAAUAUAAUGUAAUUUUAACACUAUUAUGUUCCCAUAAGAAUAUUUUAACAGUCAGGUAGUUUUCAUGCUUGAUAAUGUUAAGGAUAGGAUUUUUAAAAGCUUUUCUAAUUUUAUUGAGAAGUAUGUCAGUUGCUUAAAGAUUCCCUAGAAAUGGGCACUCUUACAAUUCUAAUGAAUUUAUAGAAAAGAGCUAUCUACGGUGCUUAACAAGUGGCAUUACCAUAAGCCAAUUAUGCUUUGAGCAGUUAGUUUUCCUUGCUUGGGUUUUCAUUAUCAGCCCCCAGUGUAAGGCCUCUGGUUAUCCUUUCUUGAAUCAGGAAUUUAAGUGCCCAUGUUAUAAGAAAUUAGAAAUGUUGGAGAUGGCUAUGUGUUAUUUGAACAUUAGUCCAAAGGAAAUGUUUAAAAUAAAUGAUGACUGUUCUUCAGUUUCUGUUUGUGAGAUAUGAACCAUAGUACUUGGCCAGGAAAAGGUAUUAUUGGCAGAAAAUUAGUAUAGAUUUUAUGUAGGCUAAGUGAAUAACUCAUGAUCUUUGUUCAUAUGAUUACUAGCAUUUUAUAAUUAGUCCAGCAUUCCUGUGUACAAACAUUCCUUUAUCAAAUAAUGUACUUUGCAAACCAUACUAUAUUUUAGUACAUGACUAUUUUAUACCUAAGUUAAAAUAUAUACC
ensembl:lncRNA